rnacentral:rRNA from 1 species
GACGAACGCUGGCGGCGGGCUUAACACAUGCAAGUCGAACGGAAAGGCCCUGCUUUUUUGGGGUUCUCGAGUGGCGAACGGGUGAGUAACACGUGAGUAACCUGCCCUCUGCUGGGGGAUAACUUCAGGAAACUGGGGCUAAUACCGGAUAGGAGCUCCUGCUGCAUGGUGGGGGUUGGAAUGUUUCGGCGGUUGGGGAUGGACUCGCGGCUUAUCAGCUUGUUGGUGGGGUAGUGGCUUACCAAGGCUUUGAAGGGUAGCCGACCUGAGAGGGUGACCGGCCACAUUGGGACUGAGAUACGGACCAGACUCCUACGGGAGGCAGCAGUGGCGAAUAUUGCACAAUGGGCGGAAGCCUGAUGCAGAAGCGCCGCGUGCGGGAUGACGGCCUUCGGGUUGUAAACCGAUUUCGCCUGUGACGAAGCGUGAGUGACGGUAAUGGGUAAAGAAGCACCGGCUAACUACGUG